UUAAGCGACUAAGCGUACACGGUGGAUGCCCUGGCAGUCAGAGGCGAUGAAGGACGUGCUAAUCUGCGAUAAGCGUCGGUAAGGUGAUAUGAACCGUUAUAACCGGCGAUUUCCGAAUGGGGAAACCCAGUGUGAUUCGUCACACUAUCAUUAACUGAAUCCAUAGGUUAAUGAGGCGAACCGGGGGAACUGAAACAUCUAAGUACCCCGAGGAAAAGAAAUCAACCGAGAUUCCCCCAGUAGCGGCGAGCGAACGGGGAGCAGCCCAGAGCCUGAAUCAGUGUGUGUGUUAGUGGAAGCGUCUGGAAAGGCGCGCGAUACAGGGUGACAGCCCCGUACACAAAAAUGCACAUAUUGUGAGCUCGAUGAGUAGGGCGGGACACGUGGUAUCCUGUCUGAAUAUGGGGGGACCAUCCUCCAAGGCUAAAUACUCCUGACUGACCGAUAGUGAACCAGUACCGUGAGGGAAAGGCGAAAAGAACCCCGGCGAGGGGAGUGAAAAAGAACCUGAAACCGUGUACGUACAAGCAGUGGGAGCACGCUUAGGCGUGUGACUGCGUACCUUUUGUAUAAUGGGUCAGCGACUUAUAUUCUGUAGCAAGGUUAACCGAAUAGGGGAGCCGAAGGGAAACCGAGUCUUAACUGGGCGUUAAGUUGCAGGGUAUAGACCCGAAACCCGGUGAUCUAGCCAUGGGCAGGUUGAAGGUUGGGUAACACUAACUGGAGGACCGAACCGACUAAUGUUGAAAAAUUAGCGGAUGACUUGUGGCUGGGGGUGAAAGGCCAAUCAAACCGGGAGAUAGCUGGUUCUCCCCGAAAGCUAUUUAGGUAGCGCCUCGUGAAUUCAUCUCCGGGGGUAGAGCACUGUUUCGGCAAGGGGGUCAUCCCGACUUACCAACCCGAUGCAAACUGCGAAUACCGGAGAAUGUUAUCACGGGAGACACACGGCGGGUGCUAACGUCCGUCGUGAAGAGGGAAACAACCCAGACCGCCAGCUAAGGUCCCAAAGUCAUGGUUAAGUGGGAAACGAUGUGGGAAGGCCCAGACAGCCAGGAUGUUGGCUUAGAAGCAGCCAUCAUUUAAAGAAAGCGUAAUAGCUCACUGGUCGAGUCGGCCUGCGCGGAAGAUGUAACGGGGCUAAACCAUGCACCGAAGCUGCGGCAGCGACGCUUAUGCGUUGUUGGGUAGGGGAGCGUUCUGUAAGCCUGCGAAGGUGUGCUGUGAGGCAUGCUGGAGGUAUCAGAAGUGCGAAUGCUGACAUAAGUAACGAUAAAGCGGGUGAAAAGCCCGCUCGCCGGAAGACCAAGGGUUCCUGUCCAACGUUAAUCGGGGCAGGGUGAGUCGACCCCUAAGGCGAGGCCGAAAGGCGUAGUCGAUGGGAAACAGGUUAAUAUUCCUGUACUUGGUGUUACUGCGAAGGGGGGACGGAGAAGGCUAUGUUGGCCGGGCGACGGUUGUCCCGGUUUAAGCGUGUAGGCUGGUUUUCCAGGCAAAUCCGGAAAAUCAAGGCUGAGGCGUGAUGACGAGGCACUACGGUGCUGAAGCAACAAAUGCCCUGCUUCCAGGAAAAGCCUCUAAGCAUCAGGUAACAUCAAAUCGUACCCCAAACCGACACAGGUGGUCAGGUAGAGAAUACCAAGGCGCUUGAGAGAACUCGGGUGAAGGAACUAGGCAAAAUGGUGCCGUAACUUCGGGAGAAGGCACGCUGAUAUGUAGGUGAAGUCCCUUGCGGAUGGAGCUGAAAUCAGUCGAAGAUACCAGCUGGCUGCAACUGUUUAUUAAAAACACAGCACUGUGCAAACACGAAAGUGGACGUAUACGGUGUGACGCCUGCCCGGUGCCGGAAGGUUAAUUGAUGGGGUCAGCGCAAGCGAAGCUCUUGAUCGAAGCCCCGGUAAACGGCGGCCGUAACUAUAACGGUCCUAAGGUAGCGAAAUUCCUUGUCGGGUAAGUUCCGACCUGCACGAAUGGCGUAAUGAUGGCCAGGCUGUCUCCACCCGAGACUCAGUGAAAUUGAACUCGCUGUGAAGAUGCAGUGUACCCGCGGCAAGACGGAAAGACCCCGUGAACCUUUACUAUAGCUUGACACUGAACAUUGAGCCUUGAUGUGUAGGAUAGGUGGGAGGCUUUGAAGUGUGGACGCCAGUCUGCAUGGAGCCGGCCUUGAAAUACCACCCUUUAAUGUUUGAUGUUCUAACGUGGACCCGUGAUCCGGGUUGCGGACAGUGUCUGGUGGGUAGUUUGACUGGGGCGGUCUCCUCCUAAAGAGUAACGGAGGAGCA
rnacentral:rRNA from 1 species